rnacentral:rRNA from 1 species
GACGAACGCUGGCGGCGUGCUUAACACAUGCAAGUCGAACGGAAAGGCCCUGCUUUUGUGGGGUGCUCGAGUGGCGAACGGGUGAGUAACACGUGAGUAACCUGCCCUUGACUUUGGGAUAACUUCGGGAAACUGGGGCUAAUACCGGAUAGGAGCUCCUGCUGCAUGGUGGGGGUUGGAAAGUUUCGGCGGUUGGGGAUGGACUCGCGGCUUAUCGGCUUGUUGGUGGGGUAGUGGCUUACCAAGGCUUUGACGGGUAGCCGGCCUGAGAGGGUGACCGGCCACAUUGGGACUGAGAUACGGCCCAGACUCCUACGGGAGGCAGCAGUGGGGAAUAUUGCACAAUGGGCGGAAGCAUGAUGCAGCAACGCCGCGUGCGGGAUGACGGCCUUCGGGUUGUAAACCGCUUUCGCCUGUGACGAAGCGUGAGUGACGGUAAUGGGUAAAGAAGCACCGGCUAACUACGU